rnacentral:rRNA from 1 species
UUUAGACCUCAAAUCAGUCAGGACUACCCGCUGAACUUAAGCAUAUCAAUAAGCGGAGGAAAAGAAACUAACAAGGAUUCCCCUAGUAACGGCGAGUGAAGUGGGAAAAGCUCAACUUUGAAAUCUGGUACUUUCAGUAUCCGAAUUGUAGUCUCAAGAAGUGUUUUCUGUGCCGGUCCAUGUAUGAGUCUGUUGGAACACAGCGUCAUAGAGGGUGACAACCCCGUUCAUGACAUGGAUCCCGGUGCUUUGUGAUACACUCUCGAAGAGUCGAGUUGUUUGGGAAUGCAGCUCAAAUUGGGUGGUAAAUUCCAUCUAAAGCUAAAUAUUGGCGAGAGACCGAUAGCAAACAAGUACCGUGAGGGAAAGAUGAAAAGCACUUUGGAAAGAGAGUUAACAGUACGUGAAAUUGUUGAAAGGGAAACGAUUGAAGUCAGACGUGCGUGAUGCGGUUCAGCUUUAGUUCGCUAGAGUGUACUCCGUAUCUUUGCAGGCCAACAUCGGUUUUGUUAGUCGGAUAAAGGUUUGAGAA